UACGUAGGGCGCAAGCGUUAUCCGGAAUUAUUGGGCGUAAAGAGCUCGUAGGCGGUUUGUCGCGUCUGCCGUGAAAGUCCGGGGCUCAACUCCGGAUCUGCGGUGGGUACGGGCAGACUAGAGUGAUGUAGGGGAGACUGGAAUUCCCGGUUGUAGCGGUGAAAUGCGCAGAUAUCAGGAAGAACACCCGUGGCGAAAGCGGCUCUCUGGAACGGUACUGACGCUGAGACGCGGAAAGCGUGGGGAGCGAACAGG
rnacentral:rRNA from 1 species